CUGGAGGUAUCAGAAGUGCGAAUGCUGACAUAAGUAACGAUAAAGCGGGUGAAAAGCCCGCUCGCCGGAAGACCAAGGGUUCCUGUCCAACGUUAAUCGGGGCAGGGUGAGUCGACCCCUAAGGCGAGGCCGAAAGGCGUAGUCGAUGGGAAACAGGUUAAUAUUCCUGUACUUGGUGUUACUGCGAAGGGGGGACGGAGAAGGCUAUGUUGGCCGGGCGACGGUUGUCCCGGUUUAAGCGUGUAGGCUGGUUUUCCAGGCAAAUCCGGAAAAUCAAGGCUGAGGCG
rnacentral:rRNA from 1 species